rnacentral:rRNA from 1 species
CGGCGGACGGGUGAGUAACGCGUGGGUAACCUACCCUGUACACACGGAUAACAUACCGAAAGGUAUGCUAAUACGGGAUAAUAUAUUUGAGAGGCAUCUCUUGAAUAUCAAAGGUGAGCCAGUACAGGAUGGACCCGCGUCUGAUUAGCUAGUUGGUAAGGUAACGGCUUACCAAGGCGACGAUCAGUAGCCGACCUGAGAGGGUGACCGGCCACAUUGGGACUGAGACACGGCCCAA